AUGAGUGCCCAGCACUGGCCAAUGAAGAGCAUGGGUCAUAACCAGGUCUUACAGAAACGGUGUAUUCUUCUUCCAGAUUUUAUAUUCUUCGUUGAUGACACGCUCCUCCACAGUAUCUUCAAACAUCUCUUUACUCGCCGUCUUACAGGUCGUCCCCCACCCCCACCCCGCCCUUUGCCGCCUCCGACUUCCCUCGCUAGUCAAGAGCAGCCCGGUCGCAGUCGCUCCUACCUUUCCCAGGCACAUCAUACAAUCCUAGUUCAGAAAGCCUGAGCUCUGUCUGGCUGUCUGGGUUCUCCCCUGACGCUGCGAUCUCUUCUCCCUCCUCCCGGCUAGCGGCUUGAGGGUAGCAAGGUCUGAGACCUCUCCUCUCUCCAAACUUGGAACGAGACUACUCAACCCACGCCUCUCAGCCCGCCCAGGCCGCUAAGCGCAGGGGCAUCCGCCCUGGGAAACUCAUAAAUACAUCUUUUUAAAAAAAUUUGAGGAGUUGGGGAUUUAGCUCAGUGGGGUUGGGGAUUUAGCUCAGUGGUAGAGCGCUUGCCUAGCAAGCGCAAGGCCCUGGGUUCAGUCCCCAGCUCUGAGAAAAAAAAAAAAAAAA
rnacentral:lncRNA from 1 species